rnacentral:tRNA from 1 species
GCCUUCGUGGUGUAGUGGUCAGCAUGCUCGACGCGUAACCGAGAGGUCCGUGGUUCGAUUCCCGGCCAAGGCG